rnacentral:rRNA from 1 species
AUUGGAGGAAAGCAGGGGAUCGUAAGACCUCGCGCUAUUAGAGCGGCCGAUGUCCGAUUAGCUAGUUGGUGGGGUAAUGGCCUACCAAGGCGACGAUCGGUAGCUGGUCUGAGAGGAUGAUCAGCCACACUGGGACUGAGACACGGCCCAGACUCCUACGGGAGGCAGCAGUGGGGAAUUUUGGACAAUGGGCGCAAGCCUGAUCCAGCCAUGCCGCGUGAGUGAAGAAGGCCUUCGGGUUGUAAAGCUCUUUCGGCCGGAACGAAAUCGUCCGGGCUAAUACCUCGGAUGGAUGACGGUACUGGAAGAAGAAGCACCGGCUAACUACGUGCCAGCAGCCGCGGUAAUACGUAGGGUGCAGGCGUUAAUCGGAAUUACUGGGCGUAAAGCGUGCGCAGGCGGCUUCCUAAGUCAGAUGUGAAAUCCCCGGGCUCAACCUGGGAACUGCGUUUGAAACUACAAGGCUAGAAU